GUGAAUAUGCAUUCAUAUAUUAAGAUCAACACAAAACAUGUUCAAUAAGAUAUCAACCAAUAAGUGACAGAACAAGUAACACAUCAACAAUACAUGUGUUAUUAAUAAUGUGUUGUCAUCAUCAAACGCUAGAGGGAAUAAAGCACUGUGAGAUUAAGGUUAGCUAAACCAGUGCUUCCCUUAUCAACAAUCUCAACAGAAUGCAAGGAUGUUGUCAACAAAAGUGACAAGGUUUUAGAUUGGAGAAAAAUAGAGAGAGAAGAAUAAGAAAGCUUGAGUGAAAAAGAGAAAGAAAAAGAAGAGAGUGAGGGAGAAGAAAAUAAAGAAAGAGAGGAAGAAGAUGAGAGAAAAAUAGAGAAAGAAGAAGAAAAAAGGUUUUGUGGAAAAGAGAAAGAUGCAGAGAAGGAUGAAAGAAAAAAGAAAGAAUCAUAUGAAAACCCCUUCCCCACUCAAAGAAACAUCACAAGAAGAAGAAAGAAAAACAGUUUGAGCGAUUCAUGGGUGAUGAGUCGAUAUUUUCUUGAUUGCACGUAGUUUAUUGUACCGAAUUUAAUCAGGGAAUUGUGCUUAAUUGUCC
rnacentral:lncRNA from 1 species